AUACGGAGGGUGCAAGCGUUACUCGGAAUCACUGGGCGUAAAGGACGCGUAGGCGGGUUGUCAAGUCAGAUGUGAAAUCCUACAGCUUAACUGUAGAACUGCAUUUGAAACUGGCAACCUAGAGUAUGGGAGGGGGAGAUGGAAUUAGUGGUGUAAGGGUAAAAUCCGUAGAUAUCACUAGGAAUACCGAAAGCGAAGGCGAUCUCCUGGAACAUAACUGACGCUAAGGCGUGAAAGCGUGGGGAGCAAACGGGAUUAGAAACCCUAGUAGUCC
rnacentral:rRNA from 1 species